rnacentral:rRNA from 1 species
UACGAAGGGGGCGAGCGUUGUUCGGAAUUACUGGGCGUAAAGGGCGCGCAGGCGGCUCUGAAAGUCAGAUGUGAAAGCCCCGGGCUUAACCUGGGAACUGCAUUUGAUACUCUAGAGCUUGAGUACGGGAGAGGAGAGUGGAAUUCCCAGUGUAGAGGUGAAAUUCGUAGAUAUUGGGAAGAACACCGGUGGCGAAGGCGGCUACCUGGUCUAAUACUGACACUGAGGCACGAAAGCGUGGGGAGCAAACAGG